CCUACGGGUGGCAGCAGUGAGGAAUAUUGGUCAAUGGACGAGAGCCUGAACCAGCCAAGUAGCGUGAAGGAUGACUGCCCUAUGGGUUGUAAACUUCUUUUAUAUGGGAAUAAAAUGUUCCACGUGUGGGAUUUUGUAUGUACCAUAUGAAUAAGGAUCGGCUAACUCCGUGCCAGCAGCCGCGGUAAUACGGAGGAUCCGAGCGUUAUCCGGAUUUAUUGGGUUUAAAGGGAGCGUAGGUGGAUUGUUAAGUCAGUUGUGAAAUUUUGCGGCUCAACCGUAAAAGUGCAGUUGAAACUGGCAGUCUUGAGUGCGGGAGAGGUAGGCGGAAUUCGUGGUGUAGCGGUGAAAUGCUUAGAUAUCACGAAGAACUCCGAUUGCGAAGGCAGCUCACUGGACUGCAACUGACACUGAGGCUCGAAAGUGUGGGUAUCAAACAGGAUUAGAUACCCCUGUAGUC
rnacentral:rRNA from 1 species